rnacentral:lncRNA from 8 species
UAAACAAAAGUGAAAUAAACAAUAUUACACUCAUUGAAGUUCCGAAAGAAAAAAUACAUUACAAAUGUCAUAUUAUGCAUAUAUAAAGUGUUGUAACGAUGUACAAAUAGUUAAAGUACAAAAAGGAAAAAAAAAAAAAAAACAUAAAUAUGGGUUGUUUUUACAAUGGUGUUUGCUCUUCACUGGUUGCCCCUUUCUUGUGGCAACAGGUCACAAAUCUUGCUGCUGUGAUGGCACACUGUGGUAUUUCACCCAGUAGAUAUGGGAGUUUAUCAAAAUCGGGUUUGUUUUCAAAUUCUUUUGCUGGUCUGUGGAAUCUGAGGUAAAUAUGUGUCUCUAAUAUGGUCAAACACUUGGCAGGAGGUUAGGAAGUGCAGCUCAGUUUCCACCUCAUUUUGUAGGCAGUGUGCACAUAGCCAAGUCUCUGUCUCCAUUUCCUCUCUCUCUCUUUCGAUCUCCUCACACUCUCCCCAUCUUCCCCUCUCUCUCCUUUCCACCCUCUCCCUCGCUGUCUCUCUCUGUCCAUCUGUCCUCUCUCUUCAUCUUCUCUCCCCCUCUCUCUCCGUUUCCCCCCUCUCUCCAUCUCCCCCCUCUCUCUCCAUUCCCCAAUCUCUCUCUUUCUCCAUCUCCCCCCUCUCUCUCCAUCUCCCCCCUCUCUCCAUCUCCCCUCUCUCUCUCUCUCUCUCUCUCUCUCUCUCUCUCUCUAUUCCCAUCUCUCUCUAUCCAUCUCCCCUUUCUCUCUAUUUCUCUCUCUAUCUCUCUCUCUUUCUCUCUCUCCAUCUCCCCUCUCUCUCUCCACCCCCUCUCUCCAUCUCCCCUCUCUCUCUCCACCCCAUCUCUCUCUUUCUCUCUUUCCAUCUCCACUCUCUCUCGCUCCACCCCCUUCUCUCUCAUCUCCCCAUCUCUCCUUCUCCAUCUUCUCCCUCUCUUUCAGCAUCUUCCCAUCCCACUCUCUCUUCAUCUACCCCCCUCUCUCGCUCUAUCACUCUCUGCAUCCCCCCUCUCUCUCCAUUUCCCCUCUCUCUCCCCUUUCUCUCUCUUUCUCUCUCCAUUUCCCCUCUCUCUCACAUCUCCCCACUCGCUCUCUCAUUCUAUCUCCUUCCCCCUUUCUCUCUCUCCAUCUCCCCCCUUUCUCUCUCUUUCUCUCUCCAUUUCCCCUCUCUCUCACAUCUCCCCACUCGCUCUCUCUUUCUAUCUCCUUCCCCCUUUUUCCACCUCACCUCACCUCUCUCUCUCUCUCUCUCUCUCUUUAUAUCACCAUAUCUUCUCUCUCUCAAUCCCCCCUCUCUCUCAUCUCCCCUCUAUCUCUCUCUCAAUCUCCCCCUCCCUCUCUCUCCAUCUCUCCCCUCCCUCUCUCUCUCUCCAUCUCCUCCUUUUCUCUAUCUCUGUCCAUCUCUCCCUCUCUCUCUACAUCUCCGCUCUAUCUCUCUCUCAUCUCCCCUCCUCUUUCUCAUCUCCCCUCUCUCUCUCAUCCUUUCUCUCUCUCAUCCUUCCCCUCUCUCAUUAUCUCUCUCAUCCUUCCCCUCUCUCAUUAUCUCUCUCAUCCUUUCCCUCUCUCUUUCUCUCUCAUCCUUUCCCUCUCUCAUCCUUUCCUUCUCUCUUUCUCUCUCUCAUCCUUCCCCUCUCUCAUUAUCUCUCUCAUCCUUCCCAUCUCUCAUUAUCUCUCUCAUCCUUCCCCUCUCUCAUUAUCUCUCUCAUCCUUUCCCUCUCUCAUUAUCUCUCUCAUCCUUCCCCUCUCUCAUUAUCUCUCUCAUCUUUCCCCUCUCUCAUUAUCUCUCUCAUCCUUCCCCUCUCAUUAUCUCUCUCAUCCUUUCCCUCUCUCAUUAUCUAUCUCAUCCUUCCCCUCUCUCAUUAUCUCUCUCAUCCUUUCCCUCUCUCAUUAUCUCUCUCAUCCUUCCCCUCUCUCAUUAUCUCUCUCAUCCUUCCCCUCUCUCUUUCUCUCUCUUAUCCUUUCCCUCUCUCCUCGUCUCACAUUCUUCUACACAUUCUCUCUCACAUGCAUACCAGACACUGCCGUCCUCAAUAGGGGCUGUUUAUAUAGUCUCCUCUCAACACUCAGCCUAUGAUGGAAACAGACCACAUUAAACCAAAGUGGAGCUCUUUAAACCUAGAACUCUCUAACCUUGUCCUCUGUGUCCUUCUGAUUUAUUAACAAAUAUGUUGCUUUUCUCUCUCUCUGUCUCUCUCUUUCUGUCUCUGUCUCUGUCUCUCUCUCUCUUGCUCUCUGUCUGUCUCUCUCUCUGUCUCUC